rnacentral:rRNA from 1 species
CCUACGGGGGGCUGCAGUGGGGAAUUUUGGACAAUGGGGGCAACCCUGAUCCAGCCAUUCCGCGUGAGUGAAGAAGGCCUUCGGGUUGUAAAGCUCUUUUGUCCGGAGCGAAACGGGCGGCCCUAAUACGGUCGUCUACUGACGGUACCGGAAGAAUAAGCACCGGCUAACUACGUGCCAGCAGCCGCGGUAAUACGUAGGGUACGUACGUUAAUCGGAGCUACCGGGCGUAGAGUUGUAGCAGGCGGUUGAAAUCCCCGGGCUCAACCUGGGAAUGGCAUUUGGGACUGCAAGGCUGGAGUGUGGCAGAGGGGACUAGAAUUCCUGGUGUAGCAGUGAAAUGCGUAGAUAUCAGGAGGAAUACCGAUGGCGAAGGCAGGUCCCUGGGUUAACACUGACGCUCAUGCACGAAAGCGUGGGGAGCAAACAGGAUUAGAUACCCUUGUAGUC